rnacentral:tRNA from 1 species
GGGGCUUUAGCUCAGCUGGCUAGAGCAUCUGCCCUGCACGCAGAGGGUCAGGGGUUCGAAUCCCCUAAGCUCCACCA